GUCAAAAAUUUGAUUAUCUAGUUGGCUUUGAUUCUCAUUGUCAAAAAUCUUAAGCCCUUAAUCAUAACGAAACGAAAUUGUUACGAUAAUACGAAUUUCGAAAUGCAGAAAUACUCACUCGAUGUUCUUCCCGAUGACAACGAUUUUGACGAAGAAGUUUCUCGUCAUAUAAUCCAGUUGAACUUGAUCUUUUUCGCCGAAUUGGAGGACUUUGAUAAUUGGGAUGAUGAACACCUUAAUUUCUUCGAAGAAGCUAGCGCGCCCGAUGAUAAUACAACUGAUAACUUCGAGAGCUACGAUGACCAAUUUAAGUUUUAAGCAUUACGGAAGUAUUUUAUCAUAUACAUCCCAAAGAUAUUUCUUUAAUUCACUUGCAAUUGAUUUAUCUUUGCUUUAAACAAAAUUUAAACUUUCUAAGCAAUCAAUUAAUACAAAACCAUGAAGAAAAAUUCAAAAUAACUACAGUCUUACUAUGUUUAACAAAUUUCAAGAGCUGGUCAUUUCAAUUGUAAUAUGUUUUAUAAAAUCAAGCUGGCAUAGAUACUUACAGUCAAAAAUCUAGAUCUAAAUCUAAAUACGAAAUUCAGAAAUACUCACUCGAAGUUUUUCCCUGUGACUACUAUCUUGAAGAAGAGGUGUCUCAUCAUAAAUUCGAGUUGAACUUGAUCUUUUAAAGGACUUUCAUUAUCGGGAUGAUGGUACCGGGAAUGCCAACAAUGGAGCUAGCGUGCCCGAUGAUAAUCCAACAGCCAAGAGCAACGAUUACAACUGUUAGUUGGAAGCAUUACGGAAGUAUCCAACUUACAUAUAUUUUGCAAGGGCCAUAGGCACCGUUGUUUCCAUUUAGCUUGGCCAUCAUUAUCAUCCAAUAAAGUUCUUGUAGCAUAUUGUACCCUGUCGUCAUUCGUCAUGAUCGGCUUUCGGGAUCGUUUAUUGUCCCAUAGCUCAUCACUCACUUGUGCGCAAAGCGGAUUAGGUUUCACCAAAAAACGUGUCCUGGACAAUGGACUUGAUGGUGG